rnacentral:tRNA from 1 species
UUUAAUAUGGCAGACUAAGUGCAAUGGAUUUAAACUCCAUAAAUAAAGAUAUAUCUUUUAUUAAUA